CCCUGCCAUUUGUACACACCGCCCGUCGCACCUACCGAUUGGAUGGUCCGGUGAGGCCUCCGGACUCGACCCGACGUCUCGUCAGAGGCCCGGGAUGGGGAAGUUGGUCAAAUCUUACCAUCUAGAGG
rnacentral:rRNA from 1 species